GCUAUUGUUGCCUUUUUAUAGCCAAAGAAAGCUGAACAUUCACAGCCUCUGCAUUCAAAUAUGGCUGACAAAAUGAUUCAUACUUUGCAUUGCACACAGUACAUCAUUUGAUAAAUAAUAUGAAGCUCUAUUAUUAUAUUUUUGCACAGUUUUCCUUUAGGUGGUGGUGACACAGGCAGACUUGAGCAGUGGGUGGUGAACAUGAGACAGAAGAACUGGAGACCUACACCAUCAUCUCGUCUUUGCAGUGUUCAUUUUGAAGAGCAUGCGUUCACCAUGAACUCAAAGGGAAAUCGUUACCUAAAGACCACAGCUUUCCCUACUCUGUUUCCAAGUCAUCAUUUGAGGACUUCUGAUGCAAAACACAGGAUUUUGGAUAGUUGUGACACCAAGGAGACCAUGAUGCAGCCAGACUGAAGCAGCA